rnacentral:rRNA from 1 species
AGCAGCCGCGGUAAUUCCAGCUCCAAUAGCGUAUAUUAAAGUUGUUGCAGUUAAAAAGCUCGUAGUUGAAUUUCGGGAUCAGUACGCUGGUCGUGCCUUCGGUAUGUACUGGUGUUACUGGUUCCUACCUUCUGACGAACCGUCAUGUCAUUAAUUUGGUGUGGCGGGGAAUCAGGACUGUUACUUUGAAAAAAUUAGAGUGUUUAAAGCAGGCUCGCGCUUGAAUACAUUAGCAUGGAAUAAUGAAAUAGGACGUUCGAUCCUAUUUUGUUGGUUUCUAGGAUUGACGUAAUGAUUAAUAGGGAUAGUUGGGGGCAUUAGUAUUCAAUUGUCAGAGGUGAAAUUCUUGGAUUUAUUGAAGACUAACUACUGCGAAAGCAUUUGCCAAGGAUGUUUUCAUUAAUCAAGAACGAAAGUUAAGGGGAUCGAAGACGAUCAGAUACCGUCGUA